AUGAACGCUGGCGGCGUGCCUAAUACAUGCCAGUCGAGCGAACAGACGAGGAGCUUGCUCCUCUGACGUUAGCGGCGGACGGGUGAGUAACACGUGGAUAACCUACCUAUAAGACUGGGAUAACUUCGGGAAACCGGAGCUAAUACCGGAUAAUAUAUUGAACCGCAUGGUUCAAUAGUGAAAGACGGUUUUGCCGUCACUUAUAGAUGGAUCCGCGCCGCAUUAGCUAGUUGGUAAGGUAACGGCUUACCAAGGCAACGAUGCGUAGCCGACCUGAGAGGGUGAUCGGCCACACUGGAACUGAGACACGGUCCAGACUCCUACGGGAGGCAGCAGUAGGGAAUCUUCCGCAAUGGGCGAAAGCCUGACGGAGCAACGCCGCGUGAGUGAUGAAGGUCUUCGGAUCGUAAAACUCUGUUAUUAGGGAAGAACAAAUGUGUAAGUAACUAUGCACGUCUUGACGGUACCUAAUCAGAAAGCCACGGCUAACUACGUG
rnacentral:rRNA from 1 species